AUUUGGUGUUGAGGGCACUUGAUGCAUAAUUUCUUGAAUCGCUCCCAAUAAUCAUAGAGCGACUCUCCUGGAUGCUGUUUGAUACCCCGCAUAUCUCCUUCCUUAGGCU